GCAUGUGUUGUGAGCUCGAUGAGUAGGGCGGGACACGUGGUAUCCUGUCUGAAUAUGGGGGGACCAUCCUCCAAGGCUAAAUACUCCUGACUGACCGAUAGUGAACCAGUACCGUGAGGGAAAGGCGAAAAGAACCCCGGCGAGGGGAGUGAAAAAGAACCUGAAACCGUGUACGUACAAGCAGUGGGAGCACCCUUUUGGGUGUGACUGCGUACCUUUUGUAUAAUGGGUCAGCGACUUAUAUUCUGUAGCAAGGUUAACCGAAUAGGGGAGCCGGAGGGAAACCGAGUCUUAAUUGGGCGUUAAGUUGCAGGGUAUAGACCCGAAACCCGGUGAUCUAGCCAUGGGCAGGUUGAAGGUUGGGUAACACUAACUGGAGGACCGAACCGACUAAUGUUGAAAAAUUAGCGGAUGACCUGUGGCUGGGGGUGAAAGGCCAAUCAAACCGGGAGAUAGCUGGUUCUCCCCGAAAGCUAUUUAGGUAGCGCCUCGUGAACUCAUCUCCGGGGGUAGAGCACUGUUUCGGCUAGGGGGCCAUCCCGGCUUACCAACCCGAUGCAAACUGCGAAUACCGGAGAAUGUUAUCACGGGAGACACACGGCGGGUGCUAACGUCCGUCGUGAAGAGGGAAACAACCCAGACCGCCAGCUAAGGUCCCAAAGUCAUGGUUAAGUGGGAAACGAUGUGGGAAGGCCCAGACAGCCAGGAUGUUGGCUUAGAAGCAGCCAUCAUUUAAAGAAAGCGUAAUAGCUCACUGGUCGAGUCGGCCUGCGCGGAAGAUGUAACGGGGCUAAACCAUGCACCGAAGCUGCGGCAGCGACGCUCAGGCGUUGUUGGGUAGGGGAGCGUUCUGUAAGCCUGUGAAGGUGGCCUGUGAGGGUUGCUGGAGGUAUCAGAAGUGCGAAUGCUGACAUAAGUAACGAUAAAGCGGGUGAAAAGCCCGCUCGCCGGAAGACCAAGGGUUCCUGUCCAACGUUAAUCGGGGCAGGGUGAGUCGACCCCUAAGGCGAGGCCGAAAGGCGUAGUCGAUGGGAAACGGGUUAAUAUUCCCGUACUUGGUGUUACUGCGAAGGGGGGACGGAGAAGGCUAUGUUGGCCGGGCGACGGUUGUCCCGGUUUAAGCGUGUAGGUGUGUGUUCCAGGUAAAUCCGGUUCACUUUAACACUGAGGCGUGACGACGAGGCACUACGGUGCUGAAGCAACAAAUGCCCUGCUUCCAGGAAAAGCCUCUAAGCAUCAGGUAACAUCAAAUCGUACCCCAAACCGACACAGGUGGUCAGGUAGAGAAUACCAAGGCGCUUGAGAGAACUCGGGUGAAGGAACUAGGCAAAAUGGUGCCGUAACUUCGGGAGAAGGCACGCUGACACGUAGGUGAAGUGAUUUACUCAUGGAGCUGAAGUCAGUCGAAGAUACCAGCUGGCUGCAACUGUUUAUUAAAAACACAGCACUGUGCAAACACGAAAGUGGACGUAUACGGUGUGACGCCUGCCCGGUGCCGGAAGGUUAAUUGAUGGGGUCAGCGCAAGCGAAGCUCCUGAUCGAAGCCCCGGUAAACGGCGGCCGUAACUAUAACGGUCCUAAGGUAGCGAAAUUCCUUGUCGGGUAAGUUCCGACCUGCACGAAUGGCGUAAUGAUGGCCAGGCUGUCUCCACCCGAGACUCAGUGAAAUUGAACUCGCUGUGAAGAUGCAGUGUACCCGCGGCAAGACGGAAAGACCCCGUGAACCUUUACUAUAGCUUGACACUGAACAUUGAGCCUUGAUGUGUAGGAUAGGUGGGAGGCUUUGAAGCGUGGACGCCAGUCUGCGUGGAGCCGACCUUGAAAUACCACCCUUUAAUGUUUGAUGUUCUAACGUGGACCCGUUACCCGGGUUGCGGACAGUGUCUGGUGGGUAGUUUGACUGGGGCGGUCUCCUCCUAAAGAGUAACGGAGGAGCACGAAGGUUGGCUAAUCCUGGUCGGACAUCAGGAGGUUAGUGCAAUGGCAUAAGCCAGCUUGACUGCGAGCGUGACGGCGCGAGCAGGUGCGAAAGCAGGUCAUAGUGAUCCGGUGGUUCUGAAUGGAAGGGCCAUCGCUCAACGGAUAAAAGGUACUCCGGGGAUAACAGGCUGAUACCGCCCAAGAGUUCAUAUCGACGGCGGUGUUUGGCACCUCGAUGUCGGCUCAUCACAUCCUGGGGCUGAAGUAGGUCCCAAGGGUAUGGCUGUUCGCCAUUUAAAGUGGUACGCGAGCUGGGUUUAGAACGUCGUGAGACAGUUCGGUCCCUAUCUGCCGUGGGCGCUGGAGAACUGAGGGGGGCUGCUCCUAGUACGAGAGGACCGGAGUGGACGCAUCACUGGUGUUCGGGUUGUCAUGCCAAUGGCACUGCCCGGUAGCUAAAUGCGGAAGAGAUAAGUGCUGAAAGCAUCUAAGCACGAAACUUGCCCCGAGAUGAGUUCUCCCUGAGACUUAGAGUCUCCUGAAGGAACGUUGAAGACGACGA
rnacentral:rRNA from 1 species